AGCGAACGCUGGCGGCAGGCCUAACACAUGCAAGUCGAACGAACCCUUCGGGGUUAGUGGCGGACGGGUGAGUAACACGUGGGAACGUGCCUUUAGGUUCGGAAUAACUCAGGGAAACUUGUGCUAAUACCGAAUGUGCCCUUCGGGGGAAAGAUUUAUCGCCUUUAGAGCGGCCCGCGUCUGAUUAGCUAGUUGGUGAGGUAAUGGCUCACCAAGGCUACGAUCAGUAGCUGGUCUGAGAGGAUGACCAGCCACAUUGGGACUGAGACACGGCCCAAACUCCUACGGGAGGCAGCAGUGGGGAAUCUUGCGCAAUGGGCGAAAGCCUGACGCAGCCAUGCCGCGUGGAUGAUGAAGGUCUUAGGAUUGUAAAAUCCUUUCACCGGUGAAGAUAAUGACUGUAGCCGGAGAAGAAGCCCCGGCUAACUUCGUGCCAGCCGCCGCCGUAAUAC
rnacentral:rRNA from 1 species